CAUUUUGUGCAGUGGUAGUAUCCUAGCCAAUGAGGUUUAUUUGAGGCGUGAUUAUUGCUAAUUAAAAAUGAGUUUCUUAAAGACAUUUUGGGAGAAAAAUAUGAAUAAGUGUUAGAAACU
rnacentral:snRNA from 1 species